rnacentral:rRNA from 1 species
UACGAAGGGAGCUAGCGUUGUUCGGAAUCACUGGGCGUAAAGCGCACGUAGGCGGAUGUGUCAGUCAGGGGUGAAAGUCACAGGCUCAACCUGUGAAUGCCGCUGGAAACUGUCUGGCUAGAGUCCUGGAGAGGAAGGUGGAAUGCUUGGUGUAGCGGUGGAAUGCGUAGAGAUCGGGAAGAACAUCGGUGGCGAAGGCGGCCUGCUGGGCUCUUGCUGACACUGAUGCGCGACAGCGUGGGGAGCAAACGGG